GAUGAACGCUGGCGGCGUGCCUAAUACAUGCAAGUCGAGCGAACGGACGAGAAGCUUGCUUCUCUGAUGUUAGCGGCGGACGGGAGAGUAACACGUGGAUAACCUACCUAUAAGACUGGGAUAACUUCGGGAAACCGGAGCUAAUACCGGAUAAUAUUUUGAACCGCAUGGUUCAAAAGUGAAAGACGGUCUUGCUGUCACUUAUAGAUGGAUCCGCGCUGCAUUAGCUAGUUGGUAAGGUAACGGCUUACCAAGGCAACGAUGCAUAGCCGACCUGAGAGGGUGAUCGGCCACACUGGAACUGAGACACGGUCCAGACUCCCACGGGAGGCAGCAGUAGGGAAUCUUCCGCAAUGGGCGAAAGCCUGACGGAGCAACGCCGCGUGAGUGAUGAAGGUCUUCGGAUCGUAAAACUCUGUUAUUAGGGAAGAACAUAUGUGUAAGUAACUGUGCACAUCUUGACGGUACCUAAUCAGAAAGCCACGGCUAACUACGUG
rnacentral:rRNA from 1 species